rnacentral:rRNA from 1 species
UACAACAUAGUGUUAAUGCACCAGAUCUCAUUAGAACUACACAGUUAAGAACGCUCAAGCUAGAGUUGUACUGGGAUGGGUGACCACCCAGGAAGUCCUAGUGUUUUAC